rnacentral:rRNA from 1 species
GACGAACGCUGGCGGCGUGCUUAACACAUGCAAGUCGAGCGGAAAGGCCACUUCGGUGGUACUCGAGCGGCGAACGGGUGAGUAACACGUGAGUAAUCUGCCCCUGGCUUUGGGAUAGCCACCGGAAACGGUGAUUAAUACCGGAUAUGACCACGUCUCGCAUGGGGUGUGGUGGAAAGUUUUUCGGCCAGGGAUGUGCUCGCGGCCUAUCAGCUUGAUGGUGAGGUAAUGGCUCACCAUGGCUUCGACGGGUAGCCGGCCUGAGAGGGUGACCGGUCACACUGGGACUGAGACACGGCCCAGACUCCUACGGGAGGCAGCAGUGGGGAAUAUUGGACAAUGGGCGGAAGCCUGAUCCAGCAACGCCGCGUGAGGGAUGACGGCCUUCGGGUUGUAAACCUCUUUCAGUACCGACGAAGCGCAAGUGACGGUAGGUACAGAAGAAGCACCGGCCAACUACGUGCCAGCAGCCGCCGCCGUAA